ACAAAGGGAGAAACAAAUGUGAGCUUGUAGUAAUCAUCUCCUGCAGCCUUUUCUUUCUUCCUUCUCUUUCUUCUCUUUUCUCUUCCUACUUUGUUAUUUUUCCUUCUCUUUUUUCUCCACAUUUUCCUUGUUCGCUGUAGUUUCUUCCUCCUCUCUUCUCCUCCUUUCUUUUUAGAACACUCCCCACCCUUCUUUCAUUAUCACCAGUUUUAUCCUCAUACUGCGGUGGAUUCAUCCCCAUUGUUUACAGCACAGUCUCCUACAGCAGUACCUGUCUCUACUUGUGGCACAUAAUGUAAUGUUAGGAGGUUUAUUCUGUUGACGGAAGAGGAAAUGAUCAACCACAGUUAUGCGAAUAGGAGCCUGACUUGAAUGUAAUUUCACAAGUGCAGAGCCAAGGCUGGAUAAAAUUGAGGAGAUUCUUUCCAAACAUUGGAUCCUUGGGCAAAAGCAACAAAAGAGACAUUCCUCGUACUAAAAAGGCCAGAUACUAGCACUUCCGUCAGACUUCCUAUUUUAACCACAAACCUGGA